UCUUGGUCAAUUAGAGGAAGUAAAAGUCGUAACAAGGUUUCCGUAGGUGAACCUGCGGAAGGAUCAUUAAAAAUUUAAUUGUUUACACGUUUACGUUUAACAUAUACAACUAACCAACUUAAUUAUGUCAACAACAACAACCAAAAAUCAAAACUUUCAACAACGGAUCUCUUGGUUCUCGCAUCGAUGAAGAACGCAGCGAAAUGCGAUAAGUAAUAUGAAUUGCAGAUUUUCGUGAAUCAUCGAAUCUUUGAACGCACAUUGCACCUUGUGGUAUUCCACAAGGUAUGCCUGUUUGAGCGUCAUUUCUCCCUCAACCCCCGCGGGUUGGCGUUGAAUGGCACGAGCUCUUAGUCAGUCCAUUCGAAAAGUAUUUUUCUUGUGUUGUUAUUUUCUAAUUUAGUAGUGACAACCACACUAAAAACACAUUUUCCUCAAAUCAGGUAGGACUACCCGCUGAACUUAAGCAUAUCAAAAGCGGGAGGAAA
rnacentral:rRNA from 1 species